rnacentral:rRNA from 1 species
GGAUGAACGCUGGCGGCGUGCCUAAUACAUGCAAGUCGAGCGAACAGACGAGGAGCUUGCUCCUCUGACGUUAGCGGCGGACGGGUGAGUAACACGUGGAUAACCUACCUAUAAGACUGGGAUAACUUCGGGAAACCGGAGCUAAUACCGGAUAACAUGUUGAACCGCAUGGUUCAACAGUGAAAGACGGUUUUGCUGUCACUUAUAGAUGGAUCCGCGCCGCAUUAGCUAGUUGGUAAGGUAACGGCUUACCAAGGCAACGAUGCGUAGCCGACCUGAGAGGGUGAUCGGCCACACUGGAACUGAGACACGGUCCAGACUCCUACGGGAGGCAGCAGUAGGGAAUCUUCCGCAAUGGGCGAAAGCCUGACGGAGCAACGCCGCGUGAGUGAAGAAGGUCUUCGGAUCGUAAAACUCUGUUAUUAGGGAAGAACAAAUGUGUAAGUAACUAUGCACGUCUUGACGGUACCUAAUCAGAAAGCCACGGCUAACUACGUG